CCAACAGUUUUUUGUCACUUAGAAAACCACACACAUACUUCUGUCGUUCUUAGCAGAGAGGCUGGCCACAGAAAAAGACAAACACACACACCUACACACACACACACACACCUACCGUCCUAUGUCUGCUCCAUUCAGUCUUGUCAGUCAAAGAGCGAAACACCUUCACUCUGUAGUGAAGAAGCUGUUUAAGGGUUGACUAGUUUGAUUUUUCCCUUAUUGUUGCUGAUUUUGACCUUUAAACAAAAACUAGAGAGUACAGAUUCACAACACCUUGAUCACAGCAGCUCUGCUAACAGGAUCUUUUGGAAAAGGUUUUACAGAUUGCAGCUUUAAUGAAUCAAAGGAAACUUCAUGUUUCACUGCAGAUGGAAAAUCUGUUCAUUUUUAUCUGUCAGAAAAAUACCAUAGUGGCAAGAAGGAGCUAAAACACGGCGGGUCCGUACUCUUCCAGAUGGACCAAAAUGGAAAAGUGAUAACUAAUCACCAAUAUGUUAAUGGAACAAUCAGAUUGAACAAUGUUUCAAAGACAAAUGCUGGAGUUUACACCUUUCAAGAGUUUAACCCUGAUGGCAAAGUACUGAGAAAUUCCAUUGUGAAUCUCAGAGUACUUGCUCCUGUGUCUGUGUUAACGGUGUCUCAGCAGUGUUUGUCACCAGAACAGCAGAAAGUCACCUGCUUCUAUGAGGGAGAUGAAGCAGAGCUCACUCUGACUUUGAAUGGUUUCUUACUUUUACAAUCAAACAAACCCAGUCAGUCCCUGAACAAUGACACAUCUGAUAGAUCCAGUGUGUUUAAUGUUUCCAUCAUCAUACAUGGACAGCUUUUUGGAAACAUCACGUGUAAAGUCUGGAACGAUGUCAGCAGAGAUGAGACGGUUAAAACCAUGACUGCUUGCAACGGUUCACAAGUUUCAGUUUCUUUGGCCCCAUUCGCUGCAGUUGUUCCACUCAUAGUUUUUGUUGCUUUGACUGCCACUCUAAUUAUAAUUUGUAAAAUUCAAAAACCAGAAGAUAGAUAUGAUGGUGUCAUUUUACAACAUAAACCCCCAGAUGACUUAAAAACUAAAUUUAUCUUCAUGAAAGUUAAAGUGAAAUAAAAAAUAGAGAAAAACUGAAGCCAAACUCCAAGAUAGAGUUUGACAAUCAUUUUGAUUUAUCCUUAAAUUAAACAAUUGUUUAUAUGUCACUUUUUUCUUCUGUCUUUGCUUCACUGAAAACAAUUUUACCAAUGGAUAGAUUUACUUUUACUUUAAUUUCAACAUUUUGUUCUGUAAGAGUUUCAAAUGUACGUGAAAUGUUUGUUUUUCUAUAUGUUGCCACAAGAUGAAGCCACAUUACUUCUCUUUAUCAACCUGUUAGACUGUUGAAUGUUUUUUUCUUAUUUCUUAAAUGCCAUUUUAAGAAACUUCUUAAGGUUAAUGUGACUUUACUUCAUUAAUACCGCAUUGGUAUUUUUGUUCCUGUAAUUUGUUUUUAAUUUUGUUAUUUUUGAAAUGUUUUUAGAAUAAAAUGAAAUCCCAGUCAUGAAGUCUAUAUGGGCUGACAUAGAGAGAAAUAUUAUUUUUCUGAAAUUUUGAGAAUGUACAUGAACCACUAUUCUACACUGUAAAAGCUGGAAAUACAAAUUGUUUGGUGGAAUUGAGCUCAUGAGGCAGAAGAUAAAACGUAUAAAA